AUGCACACACACACACACACACACACACACUCACACCUACACACACAUACACGCACACACACACACACACUCACACCUACACACACAUACAUGUACACACACACACACACACUCACACCUACACAACACACGCAGACACACACACACUCACACCUACACACAUACAUGUACACACACACACACUCACACCUACACAACACACGCACACACACACACACCUACACAACAUACGCACACACAUACACACUCACACCUACACACACAUACAUGCACACACACUCACACCUACACAACACACGCACACACACCUACACAACACACACAUACACACUCACACCUACACACACAUACAUGUACACACACACACACACACUCACACCUACACACACACACGCACACACAUACACACACACACUCACACCUACACACACAUACACGCACACACACACACACACACACACACCUACACAACACACACGCACACAUACACACUCACACCUACACACACAUACAUGCACACACACACACACUCACACCUACACAACACACGCAAACACAUACACACACACACUCACACCUACACACACAUACACGCACACACACACCUACACAACACACACACACACACACACACACACACACACACACAACUACACAACACACACACACACACACACACCUACACAACACACGCACACACAUACACACUCACACCUACACACACAUACAUGCACACACCACACACACACACACACACACUCACACCUACACACACAUACACGCACACACACACACACACUCACACCUACACACACAUACAUGUACACACACACACACACACUCACACCUACACAACACACGCAGACACACACACACUCACACCUACACACACAUACAUGUACACACACACACACUCACACCUACACAACACACGCACACACACACACACCUACACAACAUACGCACACACAUACACACUCACACCUACACACACAUACAUGCACACACACUCACACCUACACAACACACGCACACACACCUACACAACACACACAUACACACUCACACCUACACACACAUACAUGUACACACACACACACACACUCACACCUACACAACACACGCACACACAUACACACACACACUCACACCUACACACACAUACACGCACACACACACACACACACACACACCUACACAACACACACGCACACAUACACACUCACACCUACACACACAUACAUGCACACACACACACACUCACACCUACACAACACACGCAAACACAUACACACACACACUCACACCUACACACACAUACACGCACACACACACCUACACAACACACACACACACAUACACACUCACACCUACACACACAUACACGCACACACACACACACACACACACACACACACACACACACACUCACACCUACACACACAUACACGCACACACACACACACACAUACACACACAUACACCUACACAUACACACACACUCAAACCUACACACAAACACACACAUACACACGUUAG
rnacentral:lncRNA from 1 species